UUACGUACAAUACAAGCCAUUAUAAAAGAUUCAAAUUCCUAAAAUACCACUAAAAAACUUCUUGCACCCUGUGAGCCAGCUGACUCAACUUUUUGUUACUCUCCGAGCCACUUCCGUCUAUUUGAGGUCAAGCGGGAGCUAAUGGAGAGACGCAAUAUCUAUUCUGCCCUUCAUGUCAUUAUGGUGGGAUAGCGAACUGACAUGUACGGUCCACAUGUCAUCCUUAUCUCUUUCUUCUUCCUUCACCUUCGCCCGCUGCAGUUGCGAUUGACUCGCCGGCGUCGGCCAUCCUCGCUUGUGGCCAUGCGGCUCUGGUCGCCAGCGCGCCACCCAGCAGUCGCUACCCCUAUCCUGUCUCGCCACCCUGGUCGCUAGCGCGCCACCCAGCAGUCGCUAUCCCUGUCUCCUGCCUCGCCGCCAUCGUCACACGAGACCACUCCGCGCGUCCGUCACAGCUCUCCUCUUGCUUCUACACCGAGCAAACCUGCAGCUGCAGCCGUACCUCUUAUCCCCGGUUCUCCAAUUGGCAAGCGAGCAGCUACAAAGCCACCAAAAGAGCCUCCCUUUCCCCAAUCGGAGGAGCAGCAGCUCACACCACCACCUACACCAUGUCGUUUUCUCUCAAAAUUGAUCUCCAAGCAAGCAGGCAACGGCGCACUGCACCUCGCUCCACCGCCUCCGCCGCCUCCUCGGCCUCUGCUGCCGCCUCCCCGCCUCCGUCUCCGCCUACCUGUCCCGCUCAGCUCGCCCCUCGCCGCCGUCGAGUGGGCCUCGUGCGCCACGCUCGCGGGCUCCCUCCUCCGUGCGCGGCGGUGCCAUCUCCAGGGGAUGAGUUCGUGAGGGGGGCAUCACCGCGCCGUCGACUCCGCGGGCCACGAGGUGGGGCAUCACUACGUCGUAGACACCAUGGGCGAUGGCGGCACAGCGCCACGAGGGGCUCGGCUGCUUCCUUUCCCGACGACGACCGGCGUCUCUUCUUCCGACUUCUCGGCAUCCCGUCCCAGUCCUGUAUGGCGCCACAGCCGACCUGCCACAGAUCUCUAUCUCCCUCUGGAUCUUGCACCGCUGGAGCCAAGGUACACCGAUGCCGUGCCACUCUCCCUCCGCUCCCAGCGUGGUGGAGAUCUGUGCAAAGCUGGGCGGCGGCCGUCGUGCCUGGAGGUGCGUAUGGGGCCUACAGUUGGCGAGCGAGAAGAUCCAGCGGGGAAGCGGGCGGAGUGUGUUGGAAAUCGAAGUGGUUUGUCAACAAGAAUCAAGUGGUUUGCCUGUAAUAGAAGGGGGCGUACCUUUAAAUUUGUUAGCACUAGCCUCCGAUUGAAUGCCGGCUGCUACCGUGAGGUUUGAUUUAAGCAGAGAUCCUAAAUGGACAAGUUACAAUAAAAGUACGCUGGCUAGAACACCAGCCGCAAGUUACAAGAAAAAGAACCUUGGUGCAUGGGCUGCAUGCAGGCACUUAAAUGUAGCGUGCUGCUAUCUACGACUAGUUUGAUUUAGCCUAGAUACUGUCUACACAAGGGUUAAAAAUCCCAACAAUUCUUCCCCUAAACCUUGUGUGCCUUGCUCGAGGAUACUUGGAUCAUCCCAAUUCUGGAUCGCAGCUCCUGAAACUUUACUUGCCCGAGUGCCUUUGUCAGGAUGUCAGCGAGCUGGUCCUUGAUGUUGAUGUAGUCGGUGUCGAUAAAUCAUUUCUCAAUGCAGUCGCGAAUAAAGUGGUACCUCAACUCGAUAUGCUUGCUUCGCUCAUGGAAGACGGGAUUCUUGCUCAGCACCAGUGCCGAUUUGCUGUCCAUCAUGAGCUCCACGCACUCGGCCUUCCUUGCCAUGAGUUUAUCGAGUAGUCGCGUGAGCCAGACCGCUUGAGUUGUUGCCGCGGCAACCACAACAUAUUCUGCCUCACACAAUGAUAGAGCCACCACUCAUUGCUUGAGUGAUUGCCAACUCAUCGGGCACUUCCAAAGGAAGAAGAGGUUGCCGCUGGUGCUCUUGCGGUUGUCGAUGUCGCCGGCAUGGUUGCUGUCGCUGUAGCUAGUCAACCGAGUUGUUUUUGUUGACUUCUUGUAGCAUAGGCCGUAGUCGAGCGUGCCGUUGAUGUAGCGAAGGAUGCGCUUCACCGCCUUGAUAUGCUCUUCAGUCGGCCUCUCCAUGAAACGACUCACAAAUCCAACCGCAAAGGCGAGAUCUGGUCGUGUGUGGAGGAGGUACCGGAGGCUUCCGACUAGUCACCGGUACUGGAUGGAGUCGACUUCCGGAACAGUGCUGUCGCGGCUCAGGCAGCCUUUCCUCCAUGGGCCUCUUGGCAGGGUGGCACCCCUCCAUCCCGCCAAUCUUCACGACUUGGACGGUGUACUGUGCUUGGAUCACAGUGAUGUGCCCACCCUCCUGAUGCACCUCAAUGCCAAGGUAGAAGGAGAGAAGGCCGAGAUCAAUCAUCUGGAAUUGGCCCUUCAUCUCCUUCUUGAACUUGUCGAUGGCCUGCUCAGAUGAUCCGGUGAUCACCAGAUCAUCGACGUAGACACCGACUAGUAGUCGCUCCCCGUGCUUGCCACCACCCCGCCUGUAAAUGGCGUGCUUGUGCGCGCUCUGCUUGAAGUCGAGUGCUUUUAAUGUUGAGUCAAGCCUCGCGUUCCAGGCCCGCGGCGCCUGUCGUAAGCCAUAGAGGGCCUUACGCAGUCACAGCACCUUUCCUUCCUCCCUUGGGACAACGAACCCAAGGGCCUGCUUGACGUAGACCUCCUCCUUUAGGUCUCCAUUUAGGAAGGCCGGUUUGACGUCCAUGUGGUGGACACUCCAGCUCACUUGAGCUGCAGGAGCCAGAAGUAGUCGCACCGACUCCAUGUGAGCCACAGGCGCGUAUACUUCAUCCAAAUCGACGCAGGCCUGCUGAACAAAGCUGCGCGCCACCAAUCGCGCCUUGUGCUUGAUGACUUUGCCUGCCUUAUCGCGCUUCAGCUUGAACACACAUUUUAGCCUAAUGGCUUGGUGCCCAACUGGGAGUUUAACCAACUCCCAAGUCUUGUUGCGCUCAACAGAGUUAAUUUCAUCGCGUAUUGCCACCCUCCAUGCUUCCUCCCGCUCCGCCUUAGCAAAGGAGCAUGGCUCCCCCAUGCUGGUGAACAUCAACUCCGCCUCCUCGAAUUGUACUUGCUCAAGGCCUGGGUAAGGCUCACUCAGCAAGUCUUCUAUUGUGUGAUAGCGCAGUGGGGCAUCAUCAUGGUCGUUGUCGUGGCACGAGUCAUUGCUGAAAUGAGUCGGGGAAGAACUCGGAGCAGCGCUCGUGGGUGGAUCAGCACUUGGAGCGGCCUCUCGAGUACUUGGAGUGCCCUCCCGAGAAUGUGGAGUGGCCUCUCUUGUGCUUGGAGUACCCGCACGAGCACUCAGAGUGGCUUCACGAGUACUUGGGGUACCCUCGCGAGCACUUGGAGGGGCCUCACGAGUACUUAGACUGCCCUCACGGGCACUUGGAGUCGCACUAGCGGGAGCGGAGGAAGUCGGGGAAGCAGUCGAGGGGGGGGGGUCGCUUCACCCCCGGAAGUACUCAAGAUAGGGCUCGUGGUACUCGGAGACAUACCAGGGGAAGUCGGAGAUGCAUCCGUGGGGGCAACUGACUCCUCCGCAACCAUCGCAGCUUCCACCAGGUACUUGACGACGAAGUCAGAGUUACACCCGGUGUUACUAUCUUCCUCCUGCGACCAGUUCCAGCUAUGACCUUCAUCAAACACUACGUCGCGCGUUGUGCGCAUACGCUGUGUCACUGGGUCCAGCACCUGGUAGGCCUUGACUCCUUCCUCGUAGCCAAUGAAGAUGCCUGGGGUCGACCGGUCUUCAAGCUUGUCACGAUGCCUGAUUUCCUUUACGUACACCAGGCACCCAAAAGUGCAUAGGAACUGGACCGCCAGCUUGCUUCCAUGCCACGCCUCGUAUGGCGUCUUAUUGGAGAGGGCCCGGGUGGUUGAGCGGUUAAGGAGGAACAUGGCCAUGCUCACCGGCUAUACCCAGUAGAUGGCCGGCAUGCCCCUCUGCUUCAGUAGGGCACGCACCAUUGCUACCACUGACUGGUUGCGUCGAUCCACCACGCCAUUCUGUUGCGGCGUGUGAGGCGCCGAGUGGUGCCGCUCCACACCCUGGCCAGCAAAGUACUCGGUGAAGGACGCCGACAUGAACUUGCCGCCAUUAUCGGUGCGGAACACCCUCAGCUUCCUCCCACACUUGUUCUCAGCAGCCACCUGGAUCUUCUUAAUGGAUUUCGGCACGCUGCUCUUCUCUACGAGGAAAGAAGCCCACAUAUACCUCGUGGCAUCCUCCACCAGUAGCAGGAUGUAGCACCGGCCUCCUAGAGUCGCCAGCGUGAUGGGGCCGCACAAAUCAUCGUGUACGAGUUCGAGCGGCCUGUCCUCUGUGUACUUGGCCUGCUUGGGGAAGGGGGCGCGUUGGUGCUGUCUGUGUUUUACUGCCACGCCCACCGAGGGAUACCCUCGAGGUGGUGAGUUUGUAGGUAGGGUGUCGCCAAGAUUAGGAACUCGAAGGUGCAAAGGAACACAAGGUUUUAGAUAGGUUCGGGGCAUCGAGAGCGUAAUACCCUACGUCCUGUGUUGUUUGUAUUGCCAUUGAUGAUGAUUAUCUCCGAGGGGGUCCCUGUCCACCCUUAUAUAGUCUGGGGGGACAGGUUUACAUGGAAGUCUUAGUCGGGUACAAGCCCAGGAGUCCUACCCGAGUACUUAUCGUGUAGUUUCCUACCAUGUCCGACUAGUUCCACUACUGUACCAGUAAUCCUACUAUAUUACGAGUAAUUAUAAUAGAUGUAGGGCGUGGGCCAUAUGUCAUCCCGUAUCCUAGGAGAAGUGUGCCAUGUGGGCAGUCCCGUGUGCCCGGGUCUGACAGGUGCUUGGUGGUGAUGCAGACGUCACACAGCUGCUCAACGUGAGCCAGCUGCGGCAGCCUGCACACCAUGCUCCUCCGCACCACCUGCUAUAGGGCGCCGAAGUUGAUGUGCCCGAACCGGUCAUGCCACCGCUAGACAUCAUCACCAUGGCGUGCGGUGAGGCAGACUGACCUCGCGACCUCCAGUCACAGCACGUACAGCCUGUUCCCGCUGCGUGGAACCCUUGCCAACAACCGGCUCUCACGAUCAUGGAUCCGCAAAACACCUUCUUCAAUGUGGAUCUUGGACCUGAUCUCGUCAAGUUGCCCAACUGAGAUGAUCGAGUUGGCGCAGCUUUGGGAUGUAGCAGACCCUAUCUAGGGCCUUGUGUUCCGCGUUCCUCCCGGAGAAGAUGACGGUGCCACAACCAUGGAUGGGCACGACCGACCCGUCACCGAACUUGAUGGAGCCACGCAUGGCCCAAUUGAGCUAGGAGAAGACGUCGCUGCGCCCCGUCAUGUGGUUGGUGGCCCCUGUGUCCAGGUACCACCCUUCCAUCAACUCAUCUUCACCGCCCUUUCCAAAGUACGCUUGAGCCCGAGGCUCCUCGAUGCAGGUAUUCCUAGUAGCCGUCGUCACAGGUAGGGGAGCAGACUCGCGGUCGACCACGUGGUCACCCGAGUAUUCAUCAGCCGCCUUCUUUACCAUCCCAACUACUUCCUUGGCCUCCUGCAUAGAAAACAACUUGAUUUGUGGCUCCUCCGAGUGGUUUUCCACACAGACCUGUGCCAUGAAAAGGCACGGCUCUUCUUCCGCCUGGGCCACGUGCGCUUGCCCCUUCUUGGGCUACUUGCACUCAUGUUCCCAGUGGCCAGCACAGCCACAGUUGUGGCAGGUGUCAUCACGCGGCGUCUUCCUCACCUCACCGCCAUCAACUGUUUUCUUCUUUGAAGCCGGCGAGCAUUGACACUGGCUCCUGCUGCCUCCAGUCCUGGAUGAGCCCUCACCCGACUCGCGAUCUUGUCGAUGCGGUGCAUCUGCAUACAACAGUUUGCCCGAGUCGCGAUUCGAGUCGGCGCAAUCCAUGCGGUCCUCCUGCACCUUCAGACACCCGGUCACCUCCUCUAGUGAGAGGGAGGAGAUGUCUAGCAACGUCUCGAUGGAUGUCACCAGGUGGUCGAACAGAGGUAGCACCGACUAAAGGAGCUUCUCGACUACUCGCUGCUCCUCCAUCUCCUCACCUAGUUCCUCCAUGUUGAUGAUGAGGUUGGACAGGCGCAGACCAAAGUCAUCCACCUUCUCACCACUACGACAUGUCAUGGCUUCAAACUCCCUUCGCAGCUGUUGGGCCCUGCCCUUCUGGACUUUGUUGCUGCCGACGCACAUUGUCUUGAUGGCAUCCCACGCAUCUACAGCCGACUACUUCUUGGCCACCUGCGGCACCAUCUCUGGCGGCACUGAGAGGAUAAGGACCUCUCUGGCCAUGCAAUCUUCCUGGAAGUUGCAGUCGCCAUACUCGAUGGCGUCCCAGAGGUUGCGAGCUUGGAGCAUUACCUUCAUGACCAGGCUCCAAUGGGUGUAGUUGGAUCUCAUUAGUGUCGGGUACUUUGCGCCACUCAACUCCUUCACUAACCUCUGAACGGCCGGCCAGUCCCUAUCCUGGUAGCGCUGCUCAUGUGGGGAAGGGGAGGGAUGUCUCCGGUGGUGAUGUAAGGUUACAGAGUCAUUCGACGAUGACCCCCCCCUGCAUCUUUCUCACCAACUGACUUCUUCUCCUUUUUCACUUGCCGCUUCGAGUCUUCUGGCCGCUUGUCCUUGGGCGUCAGGUCCUCCUUCCCAUGGAGGCCUUCUUCGCCCUCGAUCGGCUUCUUGCUCUCCAGCGAGUCAUGCCUAGACCCAUCAGGCUUCCUGGAUGGAGACAUUGAUCCAACGGAUACUUGACCUAGGCUCUGGUACCAAUUGUUGGAAAUCCACCUCCCACUGAGUGGUUUCUCAAGCACAACCGAGUGGUUUGCCUAGACUGGAAGGGGAUGAACACAUGCACACCUUUGAGGUUGUUUGCACUAGGGCUCCAACUGGAUGCCGGUUGCUGCUGUGAGCUUUGAUUUAAGUAGAGGUCCCAAGGGGACAAGUUACAAUAAAGGGGCGCUAGCUACAAGACCAGGCGCAAGUUACAAGAAAACGAACCUUGGUGCACGGGCUGUAUGCAGGCAAUAAAUGCAGCAUGCUGCUACCUACGACUAGUUUGAUUUAGCCUAGAUACU
rnacentral:lncRNA from 1 species